ensembl:snoRNA
UGCCUUUAUGUGUUGCCCGUUCAUUUUCAACUAGAUGAAUGUGGUGUCAAAUAAGGCGAACAGUAACUCUUGUAACAGCAUAAACACGGAAAAUACACUAUCUAGUAAUUUCUGUAAUAGGGCUGUGCCAAGAACAUGU